CCAAUAGCGUAUAUUAAAGUUGUUGCAGUUAAAAAGCUCGUAGUUGAAUUUCGGGGUUAGUAGGCUGGUCGUGCCUAUGGUAUGUACUGGCUUUACUGAUUCCUCCUUCUUGAAGAACUGUAAUGCCAUUAAUUUGGUGUUGUGGGGAAUCAGGACUGUUACUUUGAAAAAAUUAGAGUGUUUAAAGCAGGCUAACGCUUGAAUACAUUAGCAUGGAAUAAUAGAAUAGGACGUUCGAUCCUAUUUUGUUGGUUUCUAGGAUUAACGUAAUGAUUAAUAGGGAUAGUUGGGGGCAUUAGUAUUCAAUUGUCAGAGGUGAAAUUCUUGGAUUUAUUGAAGACUAACUACUGCGAAAGCAUUUGCCAAGGAUGUUUUCAUUAAUCAAGAACGAAAGUUAGGGGAUCGAAGACGAUCAGAUACCGUCGUAGUCUUAACCAUAAACUAUGCCGACUAGGGAUCGGAUGAUGUUAAUUUUUAAUGACUCAUUCGGCGCCUUACG
rnacentral:rRNA from 1 species